UACGAAGGGGGCGAGCGUUGUUCGGAUUUACUGGGCGUAAAGGGCGCGUAGGCGGCGGACCAAGUCGAGUGUGAAAGCCCCGGGCUCAACCUGGGAGGUGCGCUCGAGACUGGUUUGCUAGAGUUCGGGAGAGGAGCGUGGAAUUCCCAGUGUAGAGGUGAAAUUCGUAGAUAUUGGGAAGAACACCGGUGGCGAAGGCGGCGCUCUGGACCGAGACUGACGCUGAGGCGCGAAGGCGUGGGGAGCAAACAGG
rnacentral:rRNA from 1 species